rnacentral:rRNA from 1 species
UGGGGAAUAUUGCACAAUAGGCGCAAGCCUGAUGCAGCCAUGCCGCGUGUAUGAAGAAGGCCUUCGGGUUGUAAAGUACUUUCAGCGAGGAGGAAGGCGUUGUGGUUAAUAACCGCAACGAUUGACGUUACUCGCAGAAGAAGCACCGGCUAACUCCGUGCCAGCAGCCGCGGUAAUACGGAGGGUGCAAGCGUUAAUCGGAAUUACUGGGCGUAAAGCGCACGCAGGCGGUCUGUCAAGUCGGAUGUGAAAUCCCCGGGCUCAACCUGGGAACUGCAUCCGAAACUGGCAGGCUAGAGUCUUGUAGAGGGGGGUAGAAUUCCAGGUGUAGCGGUGAAAUGCGUAGAGAUCUGGAGGAAUACCGGUGGCGAAGGCGGCCCCCUGGACAAAGACUGACGCUCAGGUGCGAAAGCGUGGGGAGCAAACA